CGUCCGGCAGCGGAGGUCGCGUCCACAGCUGGUGGAGCUAUGGACGUCUCCCUUGAUCGCCCGUCUCUCCUCACAGAGAGCGGUCCACCCACCGGGGGUCCUCCUGUCGAUGUGUGCGUUAGGAAAUGGCCGACGGAGUGAGGGAGAGCGAGAGAAUGAGCCGUCUCCUCCUCUUUCCCUCCACCCCGGCCUCUCGCACAUGAAAGAGGGCCGCGCGGGGCCAAUGGCGAGGGCCCCAGACCCAGACACAACACGACGCGCAGCUCGGCGGGCGGCCACAGCUGGGCUGGAAUGUGACCCGCUUCAAAAUCCGAAUGCCGGGUCGGCUCCUACGAGUGGAAGGAGGGCGGCGUGAGGAACGUUUGGGGCGGUCUGUGAGCAGGUUGACUGUA